rnacentral:rRNA from 1 species
ACUUAAAUUGAAGAGUUUGAUCAUGGCUCAGAUUGAACGCUGGCGGCAGGCCUAACACAUGCAAGUCGAACGGUAGCACAGAGAGCUUGCUCUCGGGUGACGAGUGGCGGACGGGUGAGUAAUGUCUGGGAAACUGCCUGAUGGAGGGGGAUAACUACUGGAAACGGUAGCUAAUACCGCAUAACGUCGCAAGACCAAAGAGGGGGACCUUCGGGCCUCUUGCCAUCAGAUGUGCCCAGAUGGGAUUAGCUAGUAGGUGGGGUAACGGCUCACCUAGGCGACGAUCCCUAGCUGGUCUGAGAGGAUGACCAGCCACACUGGAACUGAGACACGGUCCAGACUCCUACGGGAGGCAGCAGUGGGGAAUAUUGCACAAUGGGCGCAAGCCUGAUGCAGCCAUGCCGCGUGUAUGAAGAAGGCCUUCGGGUUGUAAAGUACUUUCAGCGGGGAGGAAGGUGUUGAGGUUAAUAACCUCAGCAAUUGACGUUACCCGCAGAAGAAGCACCGGCUAACUCCGUGCCAGCAGCCGCGGUAAUACGGAGGGUGCAAGCGUU